rnacentral:lncRNA from 1 species
UUUAUUUAAAUUUAUUAUGAAUUGUCGUAAUUUUUAGGUGGAAAAAAUUUGACUGAUAAUAUUGUAAAAGUAAUACCAAUACAACGUAUAGGAACCAGGCAAGAUAUAGGAGAUACAGUACUGUAUGUGGUGAGCAAUGCUGCCCAGCUCCUUACUGGGACAACAAUAAUAGCUGAUGGUGGAAGUUGUUUAACUGAUGACAAUAACUUUAUAGCUAGAAGGGCAAUGGUUCAAAAAUUGUCUAAAUUGUGAUAUGUCACUUAAACGUAUUUGAAUAAAUCAAAAUGCUUGAUUAAAUAAUCAACUUUGAUAAUUUUUAGAUAAAAUAAUGUAUGAUUAUAUUGGAAAAUAAAUACAUGGAGCAGAAUAUAUUGAUUCCUGAUAAUAUUAGUGAAUGAAACAAUUGUUGCCGUUUAUAUGUAUUCAGAAACAGAACAUACAAUAACACCAACUUAGUAACUAUAAACACAUGCCGAUACAUAUUUUUCAAAACACUGAAUGUAUUUUUCUAGGUAAUUUUAUCAACCUUUUCAACAAGAAGAUUAGAAGAAGAGAAAUUGCUACAAGUUAGUUAAUGAGUAUACCAAAAAGGAAAUUUGCCUUUAAGAUUUACAAUUGUCCCCAUCUUGCUGGAUAUCUGCAACUGUUAAAGUGUAAUAAAGAACAUUUCCUUUAAUAAAAUGUUUUGUAAUCAGUUUUUUGUCUAUACCCAUAAAGAUUGAUAUUGAUAAUUACAGUCAGAGUUUUGUAUUUUUGAUUAAAUGAUAAAAUAAGUAAUGAAUGUUCAUCUUUUCAACCUGUAGUUUAGGAAAUUCCAUCAUUGAUUAGAUAUAACAAUAGCCUACUGUAUGAUAGUUAGUCCCAGGGUCAACAGUUCAUUGAUUGCUAUGGUUGGUAACUUCAUAAACAUAUUGUUUUAUAUUCUCAUUUGAUUGAUUUGAUAUGUAAUUAUUGUUCAUUUUUCACCACUUGUUAUUUAGCACUUAUACGUAGUAUUUAAUUGUCAUGAUCGUUUACUUCUAUCAUUUGAUCAGAAUCAUCUUAUUCAACUAUUCCUUGCUAAUUUCUAUAUCUGUCUGGUUUUGCUGCAUAAUGAUUCAUAUUUGCUUAAUUUAAGACAUGUGGAACAAAAAUACUGGGGUUUGUUGUUCCACUUGUCGUUAGUACACUAAGGUAAAUUGGAAAAGGUGAAGUUCAUAAACACUGAUAAAUCAAAUGCUCCACCAAUGAAAGGAAUGAGAAACAGCUGUCAUAUACCUGACAUGGUACAGACAUUUUCAGAAGAAAAGGGUGGGUUUAAUCUGGUUUUAUAUCCAGAUAAUGUUUGCAAUUUUUGUAAAAUUUGUAGCAUUAUACCACAAAAGCAAUACAUUUCUUCGAUUUAUGUCAUUUAAACUCUUAUUACUAUGCAGUUAUCCUGUUAUUUUAAGAGCUUAUAGUUGCAAUACAUGUGUUGAUUUUUAGGAACUAGAUUUGAAUAAUUAAACAUAUUGUUAAUUUAUUAUUGAUUGUCUAAUGUUUUGAUAAUUUUUACAAAUAUAAAUGUAUUUUAAUCCUAUGUUCUUGUUUUGUUUUAGUCUAAUCACAUUGCCAAUUCACCUUUACAGAACCUAAAGGCCUAUUGGUAAUCUCAAUGUUCGAACACUUAAAUGAAAAAAAGGUUCUGUCAUUAGUUCAAUUGGCAUUGUUAAGAACUUUUUAACAGAUAUCAACGUGUUGGUGCACGCUUUUUAAGAUAUUACCCAGAAAGCAUUAGAUUCUGAAAAGGCCAAUUAUGUAAGGCCAUGCAAUAAUUUGCUGAUACAUUUGUACUUGGUGUCAGUAUUCCUACUGUUCAUCAUAUACUUUUAAAUCUAAUGAGACCAAGCUGAUCAUUAAGUUUUUAAUUAAGGUAGCACAAAUGUAAGUUCAUUACUCUGGUUCAGAUUCAGUAAUAACCUGGUUACUGCAGCUGAAUAUCAAAUUAGUAAACUGACCUUGAUCAUUUAGUUAAGAACUGUUCCAC